rnacentral:rRNA from 1 species
UACGUAGGGUGCGAGCGUUGUCCGGAAUUACUGGGCGUAAAGAGCUCGUAGGCGGUCUGUCGCGUCGGCUGUGAAAUCCCGAGGCUCAACCUCGGGUCUGCAGUCGAUACGGGCAAACUGGAGUGUUGCAGGGGAGACUGGAAUUCCUGGUGUAGCGGUGAAAUGCGCAGAUAUCAGGAGGAACACCGGUGGCGAAGGCGGAUCUCUGGGCCAUUAACUGACGCUGAGGAGCGAAAGCGUGGGGAGCGAACAGG